UACGGAGGGUGCGAGCGUUGUCCGGAAUCAUUGGGCGUAAAGGGCGCGUAGGCGGCGCGGUAAGCGUGCGGUGAAAGCCUGGGGCUCAACCCCGGGUCGGCCGUGCGAACUGCUGGGCUUGAGCACUGUAGAGGCAGGCGGAAUUCCGGGUGUAGCGGUGGAAUGCGUAGAGAUCCGGAAGAACACCGGUGGCGAAGGCGGCCUGCUGGGCAGUUGCUGACACUGAGGCGCGACAGCGUGGGGAGCAAACAGG
rnacentral:rRNA from 1 species